rnacentral:rRNA from 1 species
GAUGAACGCUAGCUACAGGCUUAACACAUGCAAGUCGAGGGGAAACGACAUCGAAAGCUUGCUUUUGAUGGGCGUCGACCGGCGCACGGGUGAGUAACGCGUAUCCAACCUGCCCACCACUUGGGGAUAACCUUGCGAAAGUAAGACUAAUACCCAAUGACGUCUCUAGAAGACAUCUGAAAGAGAUUAAAGAUUUAUCGGUGAUGGAUGGGGAUGCGUCUGAUUAGCUUGUUGGCGGGGUAACGGCCCACCAAGGCGACGAUCAGUAGGGGUUCUGAGAGGAAGGUCCCCCACAUUGGAACUGAGACACGGUCCAAACUCCUACGGGAGGCAGCAGUGAGGAAUAGUGGUCAAUGGACGAGAGUCUGAACCAGCCAAGUAGCGUGCAGGAUGACGGCCCUAUGGGUUGUAAACUGCUUUUAUAAGGGAAUAAAGUGAGUCUCGUGAGACUUUUUGCAUGUACCUUAUGAAUAAGGACCGGCUAAUUCCGUG